rnacentral:rRNA from 1 species
CCCUUAGAUGUUCUGGGCUGCACGCGCGCUACACUGAUGCGCUCAACGAGUUUUAACCUUGCCUGGAAAGGUUGGGUAAUCUUUUUAAAACGCGUCGUGAUGGGGAUAGAUUAUUGCAAUUAUUAAUCUUCAACGAGGAAUGCCUAGUAAGCGCAAGUCAUCAGCUUGCGUUGAUUACGUCCCUGCCCUUUGUACACACCGCCCGUCGCUCCUACCGAUUGAAUGGUCCGGUGAAGCGUUUGGACUAUGGUUUUCUGAUGGUCCGCCGUUGGAUUACCGUGGGAAGUUCGUUAAACCUUAUCAUUUAGAGGAAGGAGAAGUCGUAACA